rnacentral:lncRNA from 1 species
UUUUGUGGCCUUUUUCCGCUGGACGAACUUGGCGCCCCGGCCUUCGGGCGGUUAUUUUUGGGCGCAGCUGUGCCCGCGGCCUAUUUUUGGCACACGGAGGUGCCUCGCAAAGUCUCGCGCCAUUCCGAGUCCGGCGGACGAAGUUGGCCAGCCCGACCCCCGAAGGAUAUAGCCCACCCGUUUUUGUGGUCUUUUUCGGCUGGACGAACUUGGCGCCCCGGGUUUCGGGCAGUUAUUUUUGGGCGCGGCUGUGCCCAUGGCCUAUUUUUAGCACACGGAGGUGCCUUGCGAAGUCUCGCGCCAUUCCGAGUCCGGCGGACGAAGUUGGCCAGCCCCACCCCCCAAGGCUAUAGCCCACCCGUUUUUUGGGCCUUUUUCCGCUGGACGAACUUGGCGCCACGGCCUUCGGGGGGUUAUUUUUGGGGGCAGCUGUGCCCGCGGGGUAUUUUUUGCACAUGGAGGUACCUUGCAAAGUCUCGUGCCAUUCCCAGUCCGGCGGACGAAGUCGGCCAGCCCCACCCCCGAAGGCUAUAGCCCACCCGUUUUUGUGGCCUUUUUCCGCUGGACGAACUUGGCGCCCCGGCCUUCGGGCGGUUAUUUUUGGGCGCAGCUGUGUCCAUGGCCUAUUUUUGGCACACGGAAGCGCCUCUCAAUGUCUCGCGCCAUUCCGACUCCGGCGGACGAAGUGGGCCAGCCCCACCCCCGAAGGCUAUAGCCCACCUGUUUUUGUGGCCUUUUUCCGCUGGACGAACUUGGCGCCCCGACCUUUGGGCGGUUAUUUUUGGGCGCGGCUGUGCCCGUGGCCUAUUUUUGGCACACGGAGGCGCCUCACAAAGUCUCGCGCCAUUCCGAGUCCGGCGGACGAAGUUGGCCAGCCCGACCCCCGAAGGAUAUAGCCCACCCGUUUUUGUGGUCUUUUUCGGCUGGACGAACUUGGCGCCCCGGGCUUCGGGCAGUUAUUUUUGGGCGCGGCUGUGCCCGGGGCCUAUUUUUAGCACACGGAGGUGCCUCGCAAAGUCUCGCGCCAUUCCGACUCCGGCGGACGAAGUUGGCCAGCCCCACCCCCUAAGGCUAUAGCCCACCCGUUUUUUGGACCUUUUUCCGCUGGACGAACUUGGCGGCACGGCCUUCGGGGGGUUAUUUUUGGGGGUGGCUGUGCCCGCGGGUUAUUUUUUGCACACGGAGGUACCUUGCAACGUCUCGUGCCAUUCCCAGUCCGGCGGACGAAGUUGGCCAGCCCCACCCCCGAAGGCUAUAGCCCACCCGUUUUUGUGGCCUUUUUCCGCUGGACGAACUUGGCGCCCCGGCCUUCGGGCGGUUAUUUUUGGGCGCAGCUGUGCCCGCGGCCUAUUUUUGGCACACGGAAGCGCCUCGCAAUGUCUCGCGCCAUUCCGAGUCCGGCGGACGAAGUGGGCCAGCCCCACCCCGCAAGGCUAUAGCCCACCCGUUUUUGUGGCCUUUUUCCGCUGGACGAACUUGGCACCCCGGCCUUCGGGCGGUUAUUUUUGGGCGCGGCUGUGCCCACGGCCUAUUUUUGGCACACGGAGGCGCCUCGCAAAGUCUCGCGCCAUUCCGACUCCGGCGGACGAGGUUGGCCAGCCCGACCACCGAAGGAUAUAGCCCACCCGUUUUUGUGGUCUUUUUCGGCGGGACGAACUUGGCGCCCCGGGCUUCGGGCAGUUAUUUUUGGACGCGGCUGUGCUCGUGGCCUAUUUUUAGCACACGGAGGUGCCUCGCAAAGUCUCGCGCCAUUCCGAGUCCGGCGGACGAAGUGGGCCAGCCCCACCCCCCAAGGCUAUAGCCCACCCGUUUUUUGGGCCUUUUUCCGCUGGACGAACUUGGCGCCCCGGCCUUCGGGCGGUUAUUUUUGGGGGCGGCUGUGCCCGCGGGUUAUUUUUUGCACACGGAGGCACCUUGCAAAGUCUCGCGCCAUUCCGAGUCCGGCGGACGAAGUUAGCCAGCCCCACCCCCGAAGGCUAUAGCCCACCCGUUUUUGUGGCCUUUUUCCGCUGGACGAACUUGGCGCCCCGGCCUUCGGGCGGUUAUUUUUGGGCGCGGCUGUGCCCGCGGCCUAUUUUUGGCACACGGAGGCGCCUCGCCAAGUCUCGCGCCAAUCCGAGUCCGGCGGACGAAGUUGGCCAGCCCGACCCCCGAAGGAUAUAGCCCACCCGUUUUUGUGAUCUUUUUCGGCGGGACGAACUUGGCGCCCCGGGCUUCGGGCAGUUAUUUUUGGGCGCGGCUGUGCCCGUGGUCUAUUUUUAGCACACGGAGGUGCCUCGCAAAGUCUCGCGCCAUUCCGAGUCCGGCGGACGAAGUGGGCCAGCCCCACCCCCCAAGGCUAUAGCCCACCCGUUUUUUGGGCCUUUUUCCGCUGGACGAACUUGGCGCCCCGGCCUUCGGGCGGUUAUUUUUAGGCGCGGCUGUGUCCUCAUCCUAUUUUUGGCACGCGGAGGUGCCUCGCAAAGUCUCGCGCCAUUCCGAGUCCGGCGGACGAAGUUGGCCAGCCCGACCCCCCAAGGCUAUAGCCCAUCCGUUUUUGUGGGCUUUUUCCGCUGGACGAACUUGGCGCCCCGGCCUUCGGGCGGUUAUUUUUGGGCGCGGCUGUGCCCGCGGCCUAUUUUUGGCACAUGGAGGCACCUCGUAAAGUCUCGCGCAAUUCCGAGUCCGGCGGACGAAGUUGGCCAGCCCCACCCCCCAAGGCUAUAGCCCACCCGUUUUGGUGGCCUUUUUCCGCUGGACGAACUUGGCGCCCCGGGCUUCGGGUGGUUAUUUUUGGGCGCGGCUGUGCCCGCGGCCUAUUUUUGGCACACGGUGGUGCCUCGCAAAGUCUCGCGCCAUUCCGCGUCCGGCGGACGAAAUUGGCCAGCCCCACCCCCCAAGGCUAUAGCCCACCCGUUUUUGUGGCCUUUUUCCGCUGGACAAACUUGGCACCCCGGCCUUCAGGCCGUUAUUUUUGGGCGCGGCUGUGUCCGCAGCCUAUUUUUGGCACAUGGAGGCGCCUCGCAAAGUCUCGCGCCAUUCCGAGUCCGGCGGACGAAGUGGGCCAGCCCCACCGCCCAAGGCUAUAGCCCACCCGUUUUUGUGGCCUUCUUCCGCAGGACGAACUUUGCGCCCCGGCCUUCGGGAGGUUAUUUUUGGGCGCGGCUGUGGCCGCGGCCUAUUUUUGGCACACAGAGGCGCCUCAUAAAGUCUCGCGCCAUUCCGAGUCCGGCGGACGAGGUUGGCCAGCCCCACCCCCCAAGGCUAUAGCCCACCCGUUUUUGUGGCCUUUUUCCGCUGGACGAACUUGGCGCCCCGGCCUUCGGGUGAUUAUUUUUGGGUGCGGCUGCGCCCGCAGCCUAUUUUUGGCACACGGAGGCGCCUCCCAAAGUCUCGCGCCAUUCCN